rnacentral:rRNA from 1 species
UACGGGGGGGGCAAGCGUUGUUCGGAAUUACUGGGCGUAAAGGGCUCGUAGGUGGCCAACUAAGUCAGACGUGAAAUCCCUCGGCUUAACCGGGGAACUGCGUCUGAUACUGGAUGGCUUGAGUUUGGGAGAGGGAUGCGGAAUUCCAGGUGUAGCGGUGAAAUGCGUAGAGAUGUGGAGGAACACCGAUGGCGAAGGCAGCCCCCUGGGUCAAGAUUGACGCUCAUGCACGAAAGCGUGGGGAGCAAACAGG